ensembl:lncRNA
CCUUUACUUGAAGACUUUGAGGAUAUUCCUUAAGGGUGAGGAGAUUUACACCCAGGGUCUAGCAACUGAGGUAGCCAAGUGAUAUUCAGGGGAUCAGCCUGCAUUUUUGCUUCCCAAGAGCUGUUGUGUGUACCAAAUAUUUAUAAAUAAUGCCAGCUAUGGUGAUCCCCCAUCCUGCUGAGGGCCAGCUGCUCCUCCAAGUCUUCAUACAGGAGACUGGGGUUCAGACACCUGAUGUGGUCUGCCUAAGGCCAUUCAUUAGUACGGAGACCCCAGAGACUGGCCGGGUUUGGAAGGUGUGUGGGGAGAAUGGUACUUUCCAGGUUUCCUCAAUAUCUGGAGACCGCAGGAAACCCAAGAGAUGGGAGGCAUUAAGCUUGCAUUAAGAAAGAUGCUUCCUACAGUUGGAACUUUCCUUAAGCAGUGACUUCCCCCUCCAACAAGAUUGCUGGCCAGCGUCUGGCUGGUCAGUGUGAGGGGUGCACAACGAGUAGAAUUAACUGAAGGCUGGACUUUCAGAGCCCCUGAAUCUGAAAGUGACUGGUCUCUGUCAGCUGUGAGCUCUGUGAGACCAGGCACCAGUCUGCUUUGCUCAUCACCUGUCUCCAACACCUGGCAAAAGAAUAGCUGCACCAGGUGUACCUGCUACAUUCAUUAACUGGCAAAGCCUCGAGGCAAUGAGGCCCAGGAGAGACGAUUUUGAGAGAUGAAUGGCUAACCUGCCCCUGCUGACAGUAUAUUCCAUGUAAACUUGGAUGGAGUGUCCUAUGCUACUGCUGCUGCUGCUGCUAAGUUGCUUCAGUCAUGUCCGACUCUGUGCGACCCCAUAGACGGCAGCCCACCAGGCUCCCCCAUCCCUGGGAUUCUCCAGCCUCGCCCUGGUGGAGAGCAGCUCUGGAUCAAGAGGGGCUGAAGGAGGAGCCAGCUCAAUCAAGAAACCAACAGACAGUAGUUUCUAUGUUCCAGAAGCCCUUCCCUGGGGUCUUCUCCGAUGUGCACUGUUCGCUGCUACAGAUUGUCCUUGCGGCUCUGAGGCCCCUCCUUGAGUCUCCAGGCCCCAGUGCAAUGUCAGGAAGAAAAGCUGAGCCCCUCUGUCCUGAUGUCCAAUCCUGGCUCCUCUCAUACAUGUCCUGGGUGUCCCCUAUGAUGUCCUUGACCCUGGGGCAGAUGGUCUCUACACAACUAUGCAGUAAACCUCUGAGUGGCUCAUCUCUGUCUCUCUCUCUCUCUUUUUUUAAAAGAGGAUUUAGGCUUUACAGCAUAGCUAAAAAUACCACUGAAGAGCCUGCCUCUGUUUGGA